GGAAGCGUGGCCGAUUGGUAAGGCCCCGGUCUUGAAAACCGAGUGUGCGGCUUGUAAACCGCAGGGUGGGUUCGCCUCCUACCGCUUCCGCCA
rnacentral:tRNA from 1 species